rfam:Candidatus Curtissbacteria bacterium RIFCSPLOWO2_01_FTLL_42_50 rifcsplowo2_01_scaffold_7945, whole genome shotgun sequence.
GGUCCGGUGGUGAAACUGGUAUACACGCAAGACUUAAAAUCUUGUGGCAGCAAUGCCGUGUGGGUUCGAGUCCCACCCGGACCA